rnacentral:rRNA from 1 species
UACGUAGGGGGCGAGCGUUGUCCGGAGUUACUGGGCGUAAAGCGCACGCAGGCGGUCUGCUAAGUUUGGAGUGACAGUUGGUGGCUUAACUGCCAAAGUGCUUCGAAAACUGACAGACUUGAGGGCUUCAGAGGGACACGGAAUUCCCGGUGGAGUGGUGAAAUGCGUAGAGAUCCGGAGGAACACCAAAGGCGAAGGCAGUGUCCUGGGGAGUACCUGACGCUCAGGUGCGAAAGCCAGGGGAGCGAACGGG